GACGAACGCUGGCGGCGUGCUUAACACAUGCAAGUCGAACGGAAAGGCCCUGCUUGCCGGGUGCUCGAGUGGCGAACGGGUGAGUAACACGUGGGUGAUCUGCCCCUUACUUUGGGAUAAGCCUGGGAAACUGGGUCUAAUACUGGAUAGGACCAUGCUGUAGGAGGUGUGGUGGAAAGAUUAGUUUCGGUAAGGGAUGAGCUCGCGGCCUAUCAGCUUGUUGGUGGGGUAAUGGCCUACCAAGGCGUCGACGGGUAGCCGGCCUGAGAGGGUGGACGGCCACAUUGGGACUGAGAUACGGCCCAGACUCCUACGGGAGGCAGCAGUGGGGAAUAUUGCACAAUGGGCGCAAGCCUGAUGCAGCGACGCCGCGUGGGGGAUGACGGCCUUCGGGUUGUAAACUCCUUUCAGCCAUGACGAAGCCCUUGUGGUGACGGUAGUGGUAGAAGAAGCACCGGCUAACUACGUG
rnacentral:rRNA from 1 species